GGAUGAACGCUAGCGGCAGGCCUAACACAUGCAAGUCGAGGGGUAGAAAUAGCUUGCUAUUUUGAGACCGGCGCACGGGUGCGUAACGCGUAUGCAAUCUACCUUUUACUAAGGGAUAGCCCGGAGAAAUCCGGAUUAAUACCUUAUAGUUUAUUUGGUUGGCAUCAAUCGGAUAAUAAAGAUUUAUUGGUAAAAGAUGAGCAUGCGUCCCAUUAGUUAGUUGGUGUGGUAACGGCAUACCAAGACGAUGAUGGGUAGGGGUCCUGAGAGGGAGAUCCCCCACACUGGUACUGAGACACGGACCAGACUCCUACGGGAGGCAGCAGUGAGGAAUAUUGGUCAAUGGACGCAAGUCUGAACCAGCCAUGCCGCGUGCAGGACGACGGUCCUAUGGAUUGUAAACUGCUUUUAUACGGGAAGAAACACCUCUACGAGUAGAGACUUGACGGUACCGUAAGAAUAAGGAUCGGCUAACUCCGUGCCAGCAGCCGCGGUAAUACGGAGGAUUCGAGCGUUAUCCGGAAUCAUUGGGUUUAAAGGGUUCGUAGGCGGCCUUAUAAGUCAGCGGUGAAAGUUUUUGGCUUAACCAAAAAAUUGCCGUUGAUACUGUAGGGCUUGAAUAAUUUUGAAGUAACUAGAAUAUGUAGUGUAGCGGUGAAAUGCAUAGAUAUUACAUGGAAUACCAAUUGCGAAAGGCAGGUUACUAAGAAUAUAUUGACGCUGAUGGACGAAAGCGUGGGUAGCGAACAGGAUUAGAUACCCUGGUAGUCCACGCCGUAAACGAUGGAUACUAGCUGUUUGGAUUUGGUUCUGAGUGGCUAAGCGAAAGUGAUAAGUAUCCCACCUGGGGAGUACGUUCGCAAGAAUGAAACUCAAAGGAAUUGACGGGGGCCCGCACAAGCGGUGGAGCAUGUGGUUUAAUUCGAUGAUACGCGAGGAACCUUACCAGGGCUUAAAUGUGUUUUGACGUUAUUGGAAACAGUAAUUUCUUCGGACAAAAUACAAGGUGCUGCAUGGUUGUCGUCAGCUCGUGCCGUGAGGUGUCAGGUUAAGUCCUAUAACGAGCGCAACCCCUGUUGUUAGUUGCCAGCGAGUAAUGUCGGGAACUCUAGCAAGACUGCCGGUGUAAACCGCGAGGAAGGUGGGGAUGACGUCAAAUCAUCACGGCCCUUACGUCCUGGGCCACACACGUGCUACAAUGGCCGGUACAGAGAGCAGCCACUUGGCGACAAGGAGCGAAUCUACAAAACCGGUCACAGUUCGGAUCGGAGUCUGCAACUCGACUCCGUGAAGCUGGAAUCGCUAGUAAUCGGAUAUCAGCCAUGAUCCGGUGAAUACGUUCCCGGGCCUUGUACUCACC
rnacentral:rRNA from 1 species